GGGUAUAGCUCAAGUGGUAGAGUGCAUGCUUAGCAUGCAUGAGGUCCUGGGUUCAAUCCCCAGAAAAUCCA
rnacentral:tRNA from 1 species